AUAGAAGCAAACAAGAGCGUACGGUGGAUGCCUAGGCUCUCACAGGCGAAGAAGGACGUGAUAAGCUGCGAUAAGCCGCGGGUAGGUGCAAAUAACCAUAGAUUCGCGGAUUUCCGAAUGGGGCAACCCGUCAUAUUGAAGAUAUGUCAUACCUUAUAAGGUAAGCAAACGCAGGGAACUGAAACAUCUAAGUACCUGCAGGAGAAGAAAACAACAGUGAUUCCCCCAGUAGCGGCGAGCGACCGGGGAAUAGCCCAAACCGUUCGUGUUUCGGCACGGACGGGGUAGUAGGAUCACGUAAUUGAUGUAGUAAAUGAAAUGGAAUGCUUUGGAAAAAGCAGUCAUAGAGGGUGAUAAUCCCGUACAUGUAAGUUUAUACAUUAUAGUGAUAUCCUGAGUAAGGCGGGACACGUGGAAUCCUGUCUGAAACGGCCGGGACCAUCCGGCAAGGCUAAAUACUCGUGAGAGACCGAUAGUGAACCAGUACUGUGAAGGAAAGGUGAAAAGCACCGUGAACAACGGAGUGAAAUAGUUCCUGAAACCGUACGCUUACAAGCAGUCGGAGCCCUUAAUUGGGGUGACGGCGUGCCUUUUGCAUAAUGAGCCUACGAGUUAGUCAUUACCAGCGAGGUUAAGUGCAUGGAUGUACGUAAGCCGAAGCGAAAGCGAGUCUUAAUAGGGCGUUAAGUUGGUAGUGCUAGACGCGAAACCUUAGUGAUCUACCCAUGAGCAGGUUGAAGGUUUGGUAACACAAACUGGAGGACCGCACCGAUAAGCGUUGAAAAGCUUCCGGAUGACUUGUGGGUAGGGGUGAAAGGCCAAUCAAACUGGGAAAUAGCUCGUACUCUCCGAAAUGCAUUUAGGUGCAGCCUCUGU
rnacentral:rRNA from 1 species